rnacentral:rRNA from 1 species
UACGUAGGGGGCAAGCGUUGUCCGGAAUCAUUGGGCGUAAAGAGCGUGUAGGCGGCCCGGUAAGUCCGCUGUGAAAGUCCAGGGCUCAACCCUGGGAUGCCGGUGGAUACUGUCGGGCUCGAGUCCGGAAGAGGAGUGUGGAAUUCCUGGUGUAGCGGUGAAAUGCGCAGAUAUCAGGAGGAACACCAAUGGCGAAGGCAGCACUCUGGGACGUGACUGACGCUGAGACGCGAAAGCGUAGGGAGCAAACAGG